GCUGGCAGACUUUGAGAAGAGAAGCCGCAUGGGAUCACCUUCGUACCCAAAGGUGGGCUGCACCCCGAUGAAGACAUUGCCGUACUGCUUCCCGUAGACGAGGAGGUUCUCGCCAUCAGAGUUGAGGUGCCCAGGUGGCUUCCCCCAGUUCUCCUCCAGCAAGGAGGCGUAGGAGGUCAGCGACUGGUACUCCCUCACAUUCAUGCGGUAAGCAACAUUCAGGUUGGGGCUGUUGAACUGAGCUUCCUUGUCAUGGAUCACCUCCUCGAUGAGGGCUUCAG
rnacentral:lncRNA from 1 species